rnacentral:rRNA from 1 species
UACGAAGGGGGCUAGCGUUGCUCGGAAUUACUGGGCGUAAAGGGCUCGUAGGUGGCCAACUAAGUCAGACGUGAAAUCCCUCGGCUUAACCGGGGAACUGCAUCUGAUACUGGAUGGCUUGAGUUUGGGAGAGGGAUGCGGAAUUCCAGGUGUAGCGGUGAAAUGCGUAGAUAUCUGGAGGAACACCGGUGGCGAAGGCGGCAUCCUGGACCAACACUGACACUGAGGAGCGAAAGCCAGGGGAGCAAACGGG